GACGAACGCUGGCGGCGUGCUUAACACAUGCAAGUCGUACGGUAAGGCCCUUUCGGGGGUACACGAGUGGCGAACGGGUGAGUAACACGUGAGUAACCUGCCCACAACUUUGGGAUAACGCUAGGAAACUGGUGCUAAUACUGGAUAUGUGCUCCUGCUGCAUGGUGGGGGUUGGAAAGCUCCGGCGGUUGUGGAUGGACUCGCGGCCUAUCAGCUUGUUGGUGGGGUAGUGGCCUACCAAGGCGGCGACGGGUAGCCGGCCUGAGAGGGUGACCGGCCACAUUGGGACUGAGAUACGGCCCAGACUCCUACGGGAGGCAGCAGUGGGGAAUAUUGGACAAUGGGCGCAAGCCUGAUGCAGCAACGCCGCGUGCGGGAUGACGGCCUUCGGGUUGUAAACCGCUUUCAGCAGGGACGAAGCUUUUUGUGACGGUACCUGCAGAAGAAGCACCGGCUAACUACGUG
rnacentral:rRNA from 1 species